rnacentral:tRNA from 1 species
ACUCAGUAGCUUAGUUGGUAAUGCGAUAGCGUUUGAAGUUAAAGUUACUGGGUUCGAGUCCCAUACUGAACA